UACGUAGGGUGCAAGCGUUGUCCGGCAUUAUUGGGCGUAAAGAGCUUGUAGGCGGUUUGUCGCGUCUGCUGUGAAAUUUCGGGGCUCAACCCCGAACAUGCAGUGGGUACGGGCAGACUAGAGUGUGGUAGGGGAGACUGGAAUUCCUGGUGUAGCGGUGAAAUGCGCAGAUAUCAGGAGGAACACCGAUGGCGAAGGCAGGUCUCUGGGCCACUACUGACGCUGAGAAGCGAAAGCAUGGGGAGCGAACAGG
rnacentral:rRNA from 1 species